CCUACGGGAGGCAGCAGUGAGGAAUAUUGGUCAAUGGGCGGGAGCCUGAACCAGCCAAGUCGCGUGAGGGACGACGGUCCUAUGGAUUGUAAACCUCUUUUGUCGGGGAACAAAGGCGCCCACGGGUGGGCGGGUGAGUGUACCCGAAGAAAAAGCAUCGGCUAACUCCGUGCCAGCAGCCGCGGUAAUACGGAGGAUGCGAGCGUUAUCCGGAUUUAUUGGGUUUAAAGGGUGCGUAGGCGGACAGUCAAGUCAGCGGUAAAAAUGCGGUGCUCAACGCCGUACAGCCGUUGAAACUGGCAGUCUGGAGUGGGCGAGAAGUAUGCGGAAUGCGUGGUGUAGCGGUGAAAUGCAUAGAUAUCACGCAGAACUCCGAUUGCGAAGGCAGCAUACCGGCGCCCGACUGACGCUGAGGCACGAAAGCGUGGGUAUCGAACAGGAUUAGAUACCCCUGUAGUC
rnacentral:rRNA from 1 species